GAAGCAGGAAGUGAGAAAUAAUUGGAUUUGUUUUUGGCUUUGGUAUCAUGGUAUUAGAGCACUUUUCCUAUGCUUGGUGCUCAAUUUAGGAGAAAUUACAUCUUUCUUUGUGCCUGAACUGGGAAAAAAUUCGUUUUGAGUGGACAUAAUUGGUAGAAUUGGAUUCCAACUAGCCAAUCGGAAGAGAGGGGUCUGUCCGGACCAGCCAAUAGAGCGUCAUGUGAGCAAAUGAUUUGUUUUUGUGCAGAGCAAACAUGUGCUUAGUGAUGCAGGAAGAAGAACAUGCGGCUUGUGAUAAGAAGUGAUUAGAGGAAAUAAUAGUAUGUUAUUAACUCUAACCUUAAAAUAUGUUUUUGUUGUGUUUUGCACAAAUUACAUCCACUAAGACCCCCCCCCCCCCCCCCAACCCACUUUGCUUACAUAACUGCGUAACUUGCACCACAUGGGCGUUUUAAUGGGCACGCUUAGUUUCAACCAGCAGCACGUGACGGGGAUAAAUAAGGAACACAUUCCACCGCGUCUAGUCAAACAAGAACUCACUCCAUCUCCUUUUUCUCGGCCUCCUCCUGCGUUAGGUCCUCCUCCACGCUGUAGUCUAGCACGGCACCCACGCCGAACGCCUGGUUCUUCUGGAUCAGCGGCUUGAUGGCGUUGUGGUCCUCGCCCGCCACAAACUGACCGUAGAAGGUCAUCUUCAUCAUCUUCUCAAAGAGCCACUUACCCAGCACCUUCUUGCUCAGAUCCAUCAACUGUAAAUAUGUAACAAUGUUUACAAAUAUGCUUUCCAUUAUAAGUUAGUCACAUAUUGCGCAACAUGUUAUGCAUGAGUCUGUUCUUGUUGACAAUGUUUGCCAUAUGGGUGCAACCACUGUUCCUGCUGGGAUUUGAACAGUAGAAACACGUGCAUGUUCAAACAAAGGAAACUGAACAACAAAGUGGUCAAGUUUAAAAAAAAUCAAAGCCAAGUCAAACUUAUCUUUACAAUAACAUGUUCUAUCUUAUUGGAAAUUAAAAUAUAUAAAUGAAUACAUGAUAUAUUUAAAUUAUUAGUCAUUUGAAAAUGCAUAGUAGAAACAAUCACUCAAAUUAAUGAUAGUAACAUUAUUUAACUAAGUUAACUAGUCAGAUUCAUGUAAAGUGAAUUUUUUUAAAUAUUUCAUUUGAAUAAAUCAUUGAUAUAAUUAAAUUAUCAAGUUUUUCAUUUUUAUUUAAUCCAUUAAAUGGCAACAAUAAAUCAAAUGAUUUAGUUUAGUGAAAAUAUAAUUCUUAUUACAAUAAUAGAAUUAAAUUGUUGUGUAGGCUACUAAUAAUAUCCUAAAUAAAAUCCUUAUUUCUUAGCUAAAUGGUUGAUUCGUGAUAAAAAAAAAAAAAAAGGUGCGACUGCCUAACCUCCUUGUUCUUCUCCACCAACAUGUCCACGGUGCAUAGCUUGAAAACCAGCAGACUCCUGAGCAGCUCCGCGUUGUCUUUACUUUUGUAAGCUUCUUCUGUGUUGUUGAAGUCCACGCUGAUUUUGCUUUGCGGCUGCCCGCCUUGGAAACUCCUGCCCGGGCUGAUGAGCUCCACGGGCUCAGCCUCCACCACGGCGCAUCGUCCGUCCACCAUCUGCUGCUGCUGCUGGUGCUGUUCCUUCUCUUGGGUGGACGCCGCCGUGGACCUGCACCUCGUGGCCGAGAGGCAGCGCAGCUUGCCAGCCUUGUUGGCCCGGACGA